UAGAUGACCCUUUCAGGGAUCAUUCAUCUAUUAUGUAACUAGAGAAUUGUGGCAGAAAAUGUUGCAUGGAAGUAACCACGAGGAUAAACUGAGGUGUUCUUUUCUGAGAGAUGAAGCUGGCUUGUGGGAUUGCUCUUCAGCAGCUGCCCCCUGCCAUGAAUGAUCGCUCUUCCCUCUCUUAGGGCUGGACGGGAUGAAAACCAAAGCUGAGGGGU